UAAAAGAAAUAUAUCUUAACUUUCCAGUUUGGACCACUUUUGGUCACCGAAAACUCUGCCGAACUAAAAAUCUCUAGCAGAUAGCAGUCAGAUUUUAUCUUUCACUUUCCGGGUGUUAGAAUGACAUGAAAUUUUAAAUCUAGCCUCACAAAAAUAAUUUCGAUAUAUUUUUAAAUUUUCAUAAUUUUCUGACACUGCAAAUUUUCUGCUAAAAUAUCAGCCCCGUUUCUCACAAAAAAUUCUAAAUCUUCUAUUUUCAUUCCAAUUUCAGUAUAAGUCAUUUCCGACUUAUAUUUUACUUCUUUAAGUCCAAUAAAAAUAAUAUCUCACACUAUUUUUAUUUAUAUUUACUUUUAUAUUAAAAAUCCAGUAUAUUACAUUCCACCGUAACUUCAUAACUUUAAAAAUUCGGUACCUUACAACCUCCCCUCCUUAAAAAGAGUUUCGUUCUCGAAACUCAAAAUCAGAUUUCAACUCGACUUAUCGA
rnacentral:lncRNA from 1 species